rnacentral:lncRNA from 1 species
UGCAAAACAAUUUUGACUUAUAAAAUAUUUGACUAUAUAAUUUAAAUACAAAAUAUUAUAUAAAACAUAUUUUAUCCUCAAGUGAUUUAAGUAAAGGUGUAUGCUAUGUUUGGAUCGGAUGAACAGUUCCGUUAAAAUGAGUAAUAGGCUGUUUGAUUCCGUCAAAAUGAGUAAUAGGCUGUUUGAUUUGUUUUUUUCUGCCGAAACGGUGUAUAUUAUAUUUUGGAAAUUGAUUAUCAUAUUUUGUCGUACAGUGACAAGUAAAAAUCGUCGCUAUAUAAUCUAGCGACGAUUUUCAUGUGAUGUAUUUUUCAUUCCUGUCAAAAGUCUUGAAGGAACCAUUCCGUCCUCUAAAGAUAUAGGAGGGCUUCCUUGGCUGAGAUCGAUACAUUAUCAAACCACAAAGCUCCGAUCGAUUUCAUCUCAAAUUUAUUCUCCAAUCGAUUUCACAGGUGAUUUACUAGUCCUUCCAAAGCUUUGAAUUGAAUCAAAUAGCUUCAACUCUGUCUAUAUCUGGUAUGAUUUUUGAUUAUUGAUAUAUAUACACGCAUCUCUGUAAAUGGAGAUAAACUGUUUGAUCGUAUUUUAUGCCUUGAUUUUGUUAAGUGUUGCUAAAUUUACUGAAAACUAUCAUCAAUCCUACUUAAGUACUGUCAACAAUUCUAUAUUUGUGUCUUAGUUUGUAACUUCUUUUCCAGUUUUCCAUAUUUUGGGCUAUUAUUUGAACAAGGGUGGUUAUCUGUUGCAGUUUCAUGGACUGACUAGGAAUUAAUAUAUCAAUUUGGUUAGACAGAAAUUUUUCGUAUUUACUAAUUUUAAUCUCAUGCUGCAUAUUUUUUGUUCCAUUGCAUUUGAUAAGGUGAUUUUAAUCUCCUGAUCCUCCUUCAUCUGCAUAACCCCUCAGUGAAACCACCAGUGCAUAGCACAAAACUAGCACUAGCAGAAACAGAGCACUUAAUUUAUAACUCAUUAUGUCACAUAUUUAUAUCUCUGUGUUUUUUGAUGUGGUAGUUAUGGUAAUGGUGCAAACUUCUGAUCACAUGGAUUGAGGUGAGAGGACUAAAAAUCUUGGACAAGGGCUAUUAGAAAUGUGCUCCUACAUCAUCAAACUUUUGAUUAGUUGCACGUAACAAUGUACUGUAACUAGUAAAAUCUCCUGUAUAAAGAGGCUCAGAAAUCUCAGUUUUUAGUUGUUAGAUGUGUUUUUAUCCUAUUAGUAACAUUAUGAGGAAUUCAUACUUCAGUUUUAUUUUGUGCCUUGUUUUUUAGUCAAUGGUACUCACUGUUAUCCUGGUUACAAUUAUAUUUUUAUACCAAAAGUGGGGUUCUAUGUGUUUCUCAUAUAAGCAAAGUUUAACUUGAAAUGGACCAAUUAACCAAGAUAUUCCCCUGCCCUGACCCUGUGAUGAAAUCUGGUUAAUCAUUUGGGAUCACCAACAUAUGAGACCUGUGCAUUAUAGAGGGGGGAAACAUUAUGAGAAACGGAUGCACAUGGUUUAGCUAUAAACGACUUUCAAAAUAGCAAGUAUUAAACCAUUCUUAAAACUAAGAUUUUGGGUGUGUAUCCUUAAUUUAUACUUUAUAGCUUGUACCACAUUAAAAUAAUGAUGACAAAUAAUUUUAUGCAGCCUAAUUGUUAUGUAUAAAAAAUUAGAUUGGGGCAAGUAAUAUCAGUUUUAAUUUUAAAUUUUUGUAUUGCAAAUUUUGGCUGAUGAAUUUGAAGGGUGAUUUGUUUUUCAAAUUUUUAUUACCAGAGAUGGGAAAACUCUGGGAUGAAAGUGUGAGAAUAGUGAAUUUGGAGAAAUUGUGAAUCAAAAUAAGGGAGCAGCUGGUCCAAAGUUACAUUAUGUAUUUAUAUCCCACAAUGUUUUCUUUACUAACAAUAUAUCACUUGAUAAUUAUUAGUCCAAGAAAACAGAUUAAAUUAAAGACAUUGUGUGCAUUCAUAACAUGACUUCAAAUGGUCAACCUAAGCAAAAGACUUGAUCUUUACUCAUAUGAUUACUAGUGCUGGCCUUUUAUCAGGAUCAUUAACCCCUUUUAGCUUUCAGUUUAAAAAAUGUUAUUAUUAGGAGCAUAAAACUUGACUAUUUUCUACUAGUUACAAUUCUUCAAGUCAGUAAGUAUAUUUAUAGAGGUAAUAGAACUUACCAAUUUUUUCUCCUUUUUUUCUAGAGGGUAAUAGAAAUAGCUCCCUCAAAAGUAAAUUUGUUUUCCUUUUUACCUUUCGAGUUGCUUUGGUUUGGGAUGAAAUGAAGAGGCUAUGCUUGCCUGUUUCUGGUCAUGUGAAAAAUAUAAUAGUAAUCAUGAUGUUAUCUAUCACAUUUGAAAAAAAAAUGUAUCAUUUUAUUGUGUGAGAUUUUUCAUUGAUUGGUACUUGUAUGUCUAUUAUAUUCAACCUUUUAAGUAGGCACAAUUUAUAUCAUCUAUCGUUUCGUCUUUAUUUGAUUUCCAAAUUGUAAGUAGGUUAUCAUGAUUUCAGUAGAUUUAUCGAAACAACGGAUUUAGCAACACACCCUACAUCCCCUAGUCUGGACCUAAAAUAUAUUGUAGAGUCAUAUCUAACAUUGUGAUACGUUUAGGAAUUGCACACAAUUUAAAUAAAAAUGACAACCCUUUACAUUGCCCAUAUUAAUGGAACUACUAAUUAAUUUAUCUAUCUUACCCACAAAAUUCCAUUUGGAUUGUUCUAGUGUAAUUAAUUGUCUUCUCAUUAUUUUCUUGAGUUGUUUGAGUUUGCUCUUACUUUUUAAUUAAAUUGCAGUCAUAGCUCGUCGUAGAUUAGACAAACGGAAGAGGAUGAAGAGAUUAUUAGCUUGUUUUUUUUCAUUUUUGGUUCAAAAUAAUUGUCAUGAUUACCUUAUUCAUUAUAUAUAUGGCGCGACAUAGAUGUAUAAGAGCACUUACUAGACGAAAGUACACCCUUUUUUGCGGGCUAAAAUUUAUGAGGGAGCUAGUGUAUGACGGCACAUUAUAUGCCACAAUUACCUUAGAAUGGAUAGAGUAAGUUUUACCAAAUUGUGUGAUAUUUUAUAUACCACAGACAAACUUAGUAGUACAAAAUACCUUCAAAUAGAUGAACAAGUUGUCAUUUUCUUGUAUGCUAGAUAUAUUCAAUUCUUUUUUUGGUGAAAUUAGGUCACAUUCUUUUUUCCCUCUUUUAUCCUUACAGUUUUACUUAUAUUUCUAUUGUCCUUUUUAUAUGAAAUUUUUGAUAUCUUUCUAUUUAGUCGUUCAAAUUUUAUAAAAUUUUUAUUUUAUUCCACAUAAUUUACACACGCAAUGUGUGUGCCAUCGAGUGUUAGUAUAUUUUUAAUUUGAAUAAUUUAAAUGUAAGUGUUCAUUUUCAUCCAUAUUUUUGUACGAUUAGAUUGGACCACAGGGGCAAUGUUGGGCCAUGUUUGGUAUAGAUAUUCUUGUAGGGUGGCAAAAUGCUAUCAAUUGAAUAUAUCUAGCAUUUUGUGGGGCAAAAAAGGAAUUGAGAUGUUUGUCUCUGUGGGGCAAAAAAAGAAUUGAAAACUGAUUUUGGUAGUUUAUGUACUGAUAAGUUAGAAAGUUCUUCAAGUAGUAUGUUUAGGGUCAUUGGCGUGUAUUGAGUUUCUUAUUGUAUACUACUGAAACUGCUUGGUUUAUUGGGAGAUUUUAACAGGUUUAGCUUUUGGGGAGAAUUGGUGUGUAUAUAGUAUUUACUAAACUAGAAUUAUGGUGGUUAUGCUUUGCCAAUGGAGAGGUAUUGCCGGUUGUACUACUACGAGUAAGCAUAAUCAUAACUAUCACUGCUGAUAGUUAAUUAUAAGCGUGACCAUUUUAUAAGCAUAACCAUUUUAUAAUGAUAGUUAUAAUUAUCAACCUCUUUGUUCAACUAAACUAGUAUUAUGAUGGUUACACUUUGCCAAGGGUUGUACAAGUAGAUUGAAGUUAUCAUUUUCUUUUCUACUCUGACCACACUAUCAACCUGUCUGUUUUCUUUUUUAUAAUUAACUUAAAUGAGUUGGGGGGUAGAGUACCAUGGGUUAAGUUCUUUGUCAUGUAUACGUUUUUGUAGGUUUUUAAGCUUUGUUUAUUCAACUGUGCUAAAUUAUUUUUUUCUCCAACUCAUUUUAGGUCCACAAAAGAGAGCAAAGUAGCAUAAUAAGAUAUUUUCAAAUUAUUUGGAUAUAAGUGUUAUAUUUGGCAAAGAUAGAGCAACUGAAAAAGAUACUCUAUUAGUUGCGGAAAUGAUAGAGUUAGAUGAAGAGAUCCAAACAAAUGAUGGAGAUGAUUGCUUGGCUCCAAACGAAAUAUCUAGUAAGUCCUCUAGUUCUAAGAAGAGUAAGAGAAAAAUCAUCUACUCAAAAAAUUUGCCAACUUUCUUGGAUUGAAGGCUCGUUAAAUGAACAACAUAAGAAUUUCAGUAAUGCGUUGAGUAAUGUGUCCGGUUUAAAUAAAAGUGAACAUAAUAAGGUCGUGUUCAAGUUUGCUCGUGAGGAGUUGAUGGUGGUCCUUCCCAAUGAGCAAAAAAAGGGUUUUGCAAGGAUUUAUUGAGUGGGUGUUUUGUCAAUAAUUUAUUGAUGGGAUGCGUUAUUAAUUGAUUGGACAUUUUAUUAUGUUGUUGGUUGUUGAAUGAUGAAAUUAUCAUUAUGUUAUUGGAUUUAUCAUCACUUUAUAUUAUUGAGUGGGA